GCCCAGUGCUCUGAAUGUCAAAGUGAAGAAAUUCAAUGAAGCGCGGGUAAACGGCGGGAGUAACUAUGACUCUAAACCGGAAGUGACUCACCCAACCGCUGUUAC
rnacentral:ncRNA from 1 species